GGUCAACCGGCUGGUCCAAGUGUGGACGGAAGUAGAGGAUGCAAGCACCGAGCCCCGGGGCCCCCAGCAUUGGCGGGGAGGAGCUCGCGGUGCGGGAGAAGCAGGGGACCGCGCAUCCUGGAGACCAGGUGGAGCCAGUGGGCCCGGUAGGAUUCUCUAACAGGGCAGCAGCCACUCAUUUAGCAACAGGAGAGGCGUCCAGCGUUUCGUGGGCUGUGCGGUGACCUUGCUUUUGUGCUUAGACACGAUUACGGGUGGCCUUGCUUCAUCUCCUUCUGCCAUGGUCUCGUGGCCCCUGUCUCAGCUGGCGUUCCGGGAGGUUGUUUACGUCCAGGAGGAAAGCAAAAGCCUGGCCCUGAGCAUCAGGGUGGCUCUGGACGCCAGGGCUGUACUGUGUUCUUUCUCGACACGAAUGAGUUUCUGGACAGUUUUCCCGGCUAGUGCAGACCCACACUGACUGAAAACCGAAAUCUUUGCACAUGAGAAAAAUAACUCCCAUGGCAAGGCGUGGCGGCUCACACCUGUAAUCUCAGUGCUUUGGGAGGCCAAGGCAGGAAGAUCGCUUGAGGCCAGGAGUUCGAGGCCAGCCUGGGCAACAUAAGGAUACCCUGUCUGUACAAAAAUAACAGAUUAAAAAAAAAAAACAAAAUAACACCCAUGGUGCAGCCAUUUCUUGGGGGGUUAUGGUAAUUUUAGUAGCAAUCAUCUAAGAAGAGGUUUUGUUUCCUCAACCCGAAUGCGCUCCCUUUCC
rnacentral:lncRNA from 10 species